GAUGAACGCUAGCGACAGGCCUAACACAUGCAAGUCGAGGGGCAGCACAAGGAGCAAUCUGAGGUGGCGACCGGCGCACGGGUGAGUAACACGUAUGCAACCUACCUGUAAGAGGGGAAUAACCCGUUGAAAACGGACUAAUACCGCAUAACACUGUAGAACCGCAUGGUUUGACAGUUAAACAUUUAUGGCUUACAGAUGGGCAUGCGCAUGAUUAGCUAGUUGGUGAGGUAACGGCUCACCAAGGCAACGAUCAUUAGGGGUUCUGAGAGGAAGGUCCCCCACACUGGUACUGAGACACGGACCAGACUCCUACGGGAGGCAGCAGUGAGGAAUAUUGGUCAAUGGGCGAGAGCCUGAACCAGCCAAGUCGCGUGAAGGAUGAAGGUUUUAUGAAUUGUAAACUUCUUUUGCAGGGGAAUAAAGUGUCCGACGUGUCGGAUUUUGUAUGUACUCUGCGAAUAAGGAUCGGCUAACUCCGUG
rnacentral:rRNA from 1 species